rnacentral:rRNA from 1 species
ACGUACACUCCUACGGGAGGCAGCAGUGGGGAAUAUUGCACAAUGGGCGCAAGCCUGAUGCAGCCAUGCCGCGUGUAUGAAGAAGGCCUUCGGGUUGUAAAGUACUUUCAGCGGGGAGGAAGGUGUUGAGGUUAAUAACCUCAGCAAUUGACGUUACCCGCAGAAGAAGCACCGGCUAACUCCGUGCCAGCAGCCGCGGUAAUACGGAGGGUGCAAGCGUUAAUCGGAAUUACUGGGCGUAAAGCGCACGCAGGCGGUCUGUCAAGUCGGAUGUGAAAUCCCCGGGCUCAACCUGGGAACUGCAUUCGAAACUGGCAGGCUAGAGUCUUGUAGAGGGGGGUAGAAUUCCAGGUGUAGCGGUGAAAUGCGUAGAGAUCUGGAGGAAUACCGGUGGCGAAGGCGGCCCCCUGGACAAAGACUGACGCUCAGGUGCGAAAGCGUGGGGAGCAAACAGGAUUAGAAACCCCUGUAGUCCCA